GGGAUGAGCCUGCGGCCCAUCAGCUAGUUGGCGGUGUAAUGGACCACCAAGGCUAAGACGGGUAGCUGGUCUGAGAGGAUGAACAGCCACACUGGAACUGAGACACGGUCCAGACUCCUACGGGAGGCAGCAGUGGGGAAUCUUGCGCAAUGGGCGAAAGCCUGACGCAGCGACGCCGCGUGAGUGAUGAAGGCCUUCGGGUUGUAAAGCUCUGUGGGGAGAGACGAAUAAGUGUCGGCAAAUACCCGGCACGAUGACGGUAUCUCCUUAGCAAGCACCGGCUAACUCUGUGCCAGCAGCCGCGGUAAGACAGAGGGUGCAAACGUUGUUCGGAAUUACUGGGCGUAAAGCGCGUGUAGGCGGCAGGGUGUGUCGGAUGUGAAAUCCCGUGGCUCAACCACGGAAGUGCACCCGAAACUGCCCAGCUUGAGUCUCGGAGAGGAAGGCGGAAUGCUUGGUGUAGAGGUGAAAUUCGUAGAUAUCAAGCGGAACACCGGUGGCGAAGGCGGCCUUCUGGACGAUGACUGACGCUGGGACGCGAAAGCGUGGGGAGCAAACAGGAUUAGAUACCCUGGUAGUCCACGCCGUAAACGAUGAGUGCUAGGUGUCACGGGCUUUGACCCCUGUGGUGCCGUAGCUAACGCAGUAAGCACUCCGCCUGGGGAGUACGGCCGCAAGGCUAAAACUCAAAGGAAUUGACGG
rnacentral:rRNA from 1 species